rnacentral:rRNA from 1 species
AUUAGGAAUCUUGCACAAUGGGGGAAACCCUGAUGCAGCGACGCCGCGUGCGGGAUGACGGCCUUCGGGUUGUAAACCGCUUUUAAGAGGGAAGAAGAAUGUGACGGUACCUCUUGAAUAAGCCCCGGCUAACUACGUGCCAGCAGCCGCGGUAAUACGUAGGGGGCGAGCGUUGUCCGAAGUUACUGGGCGUAAAGCGCGCGUAGGCGGGCCUUUAAGUCUGGUGUGAAAGGUUUGGGCUCAACCCGAACAGUGCACUGGAUACUGAGGGCCUUGAGUGCGGGAGAGGAGAGCGGAAUUCCUGGUGUAGCGGUGAAAUGCGUAGAUAUCAGGAGGAACACCGAUGGCGAAGGCAGCUCUUUGGCCUGCAACUGACGCUGAGGUGCGAAAGCGUGGGGAGCGAACGG